GUGGAUGGCGAUUGCCGGCAAAUGGCAGCGGCAGCUGUGGAGGAGAAAAAGGAAUAGAGUUUCGAAGAAAUUCAAAUGGAAGAGGAGGAGGUCCAAAUCGCAUGUAUAAAUCUUCAAACGGUAUCGUUUCCUCUAUUUAUUUAUUUAUUUUGUAAAUUCACCUGAAAAAAAAGGCCCCUUAUUUUUUGUGCAGAAAUAAGUUCAUCUGAAAUUGUGAUGAUUCUAGUGAAUUAAACCAAAAAAAGAACAACUAGUUCAUUGCAUUUCAUCAAUAAUUAAUAAUGUCAAUUAUAUGCCAACAAUUAUAAGAACGAAAAACAUUCCCCUGAGUUAUAAUGAAUUAAAUCAAAAAAAGAAGAACAAAUUUUAUUUAUAAAUUAUAAAAAAUACACUCCUGUUUAUAUUAGUUUCUGUGAUACCAAAUACACUCCUGUUUAAUAAAUGGACAAAUUGUUGCAUUUCAUCAUUAAUAAAUAAUAUCAAACAUGCCAGUGGUUACAAAAUAUGAAAGAUUCCAUACUUUUUUAUUUACCAAAAGAAAGAAGAACAAAUUUUAUUUACAAAAUCCAAGUUUAAAGAGUACUUCAAACAUGAAACAAAACAUAAUAAAUUGGUACUAUAAAUCUCUUAAAAAGUACCACGAAUCUUUUUAUUUCUUAGAUACAAAUAAAUUAAGCCUUAAGAGCACCUUUUUAAUAUGCGUAUAUUUGUAUUAAGUAAAAAAAAUUAAUACAAAAUAUAAUACGAAAUGGAAUACUAAGGUAGGCAAAGAGUUUGAUGUUGGGAAUUUAUUUAUUUAAAUUGCAAUAUAGAUUAUAUUUAAUGAACUUUAUCAAUCAUAUUCUUGUAUCAACUAAUAGUAUUAAACUACAAUUAAUGAAUAUUAUAUUCAUCAAUGCCAAUCAUAAUAAUAAUUACAAAGGUGAAGCAUCCUUUGAAUUAUGGUAAUAAAAAUAGAUCCAAGUUAGUUUGAAUAUUGUAUAAUAAAUAAUCUUAACAUCUUACAAUUUUUAAUGAUAUUAACUCUAUAAUCAUAAAGCAUGCCAUCAUGGAGAAAUACAAAUAAGUUUCACCAAAUCAAAUCAUUUCUCUUCAAAGUUAAGCUAUUUAAAUUUGAACAAUGGAAUUUCAAUAUAUUCAGAUAUUACUAUAAUUACAAUAACAUUAUAGAUCAUUUUACAAUCCACUGUUAGCAAAAUAAUAAUAAUAAUAAUAAUAAUAAUAAGAAAAUUUCACUAAAACUAAUAAACAAUUCAUAGAAUGACUUGAAAGGGAGCAACAAAUUAUUCAAAAAUUAAAAGUUUAAACUCAAAUGGCAUAAAAAUGAACAUUUAGGUCAUCUAAAUUUAACCAAAACACAAAAGUAUUGAUACUAUUACAAAAUAAAAGUACUCUUGGAACAAAGAAUGAUUUAUUGUUUGUGCAUUUGUAUUGAUUGGGGCAAACUAAGUUCAGAAAAAGUAUAAAAUAACAUAAAUAUUAAAUAUCACAUUUUUUUGUCUCAAUUACAUUUAUUCCUUCAAAAUAAUAUAAAUUUACAAAUCUCCCUUGAGAUUUUUAACAAUUACAAAGAGCUCUCUUUAAGUUUUAAAAAUUACAUAUACCUCCCCUAUUUUUACUAUUUAGUAACAAUGUAGGUCUAACCAACUAAAUUUUCUCUUAAAAAUUCUAAAUUGCCCUUUUGUACAAAAUUAAUAAAGAAAAAUAUACUGUACUCAAUCAUUUUCUUCCACACUUUGCACAAAUCAACAAGUCUAAUUCCUAACAACCAUCCAAACAUAAGUUCUAAAAUCAAGUAACUGUUCAAAAGAUUCCAAAUUGCAUAUACAAUAUCAAUACUUAUCACGCAAAAAAAAAAAAAGAGAAAAAAAGACAAGCCCCGUUGAUAACCAAUUUUAUACCCCCAAAAUUAAAUAUCAAAUCUCAAAUACCUUUUCAGUACAAGCUAAUUUGAUCUAGAACCACUAUUACAACCCCUCCUAUGGCCUUAAAAAUAUUAAAAUCUUAAAAUAGAGAUAAAUUCUACCUCGACAAUAAAAUCAUAAUAACAAAUUCUAAUUCAAUGAAAGAGAUCCUUAUGUAACUAUUGACAUUUUAUCAAAGUUUUUUGACAACAAGCAAAAUAUGACUAAUUUCACAUAUUUAGUUUUUCUUCCUAUUUCAAUCAUCAAUUUCAUUAUUUAUUUCUCUAUCAUUGCGAGUCUCUUCAUUUCUUUCUAAUUUGACACAUAAUCUGCUCCCUUGGUGAUUUUAUAAUUUUAAUUUGCUAAUAUUAACAAAAAUGAAGAUAAUAAAAAUAGGUUAUAUUAACUAGAAAAUAAAGGAGCGAAAAUAGACAAGAGACAAAAAAAAUAGAAUAUUUCUUUUGGGUUUUGUAAAUGUAUUGCCUUAAAUUUAAAAUUGUCUGUCAAGUGGAGGGCAUUAUAGGUAUUUUACUAUGUCAAGGGAGGUAAGUGUAAUUUCUUAAACUUAAGGGGAUUUGAGAGCAAUUGUUAGAAACCUCAAGGGAGGUUUCUGAAAUUAUCCCAAAUAAUUGAUUUUCUAAAAAUUUUAAAUCAGGUUUGAUAGGGCAUAAUUUGUUGUUAAUUUUAUGAUUAAUUUUCCUCUUUGUCCUUGUCAAAUAUUGUUUUAAUUGUUGAAAUGUACUUAUAUUUGGUAUUUGGCCUUAAUUACAGGAAGUGGAGCAAACAAGUGCUAAAAAGGAGACUUUAUUAAGAAAAACACUCCACACAUGGGAAGUUCUAAAAGGAAAUACAAGCCGGGCUCCACAGGAUGCUACAAAAAGGGAUUUCCUAUCUUUAUGCUGAAAAGGGUGGACUUGUACUAGGAGUCUUACGGGUAAAGAGGAAACUAAAAACAAGGACUUUGGCAAAGCUCCAAUUCUUUGGCCCUUGGACUCUCAAUUCAGUGGGGACCACUAGAGAUAGCAUUAGACUUUCUUUUGGCUUUAAAAAGGGAGAAACGUACAGGAGGUUUUGUUAUCAAUAGUUUUAGCUUAGCCUUUAGCAUAGUUUUAGUUUUCUUUUCUUUCUUGGCUCUUUUGAUGGCCUGGACCUCAGUUAAAUUACUUGGAGAUUUUCUCAUGAGGCGUGGC
rnacentral:lncRNA from 1 species